rnacentral:rRNA from 1 species
UACGUAGGGUGCGAGCGUUAAUCGGAAUUACUGGGCGUAAAGCGUGCGCAGGCGGUUUUGUAAGCCAGGUGUGAAAUCCCCGGGCUCAACCUGGGAAUGGCAUUUGGGGACUGCAAGGCUGGAGUGCGGCAGAGGAGACUGGAAUUCCUGGUGUAGCAGUGAAAUGCGUAGAUAUCAGGAGGAACACCGAUGGCGAAGGCAGGUCUCUGGGCUGACACUGACGCUCAUGCACGAAAG